UACGGAGGAUGCAAGUGUUAUCCGGAUUCACUGGGCGUAAAGCGUCUGUAGGUGGCUUAAAAAGUCUGCUGUUAAAGAUUGAAGCUUAACUUCAAGAAUGCCGUGGAAACUUUUAGGCUUGAGCAUGAUAGGGGUAAAGGGAAUUUCCAGUGGAGCGGUGAAAUGCGUAGAUAUUGGAAAGACCACCAAUGGCGAAGGCACUUUACUGGGUCAUUGCUGACACUGAGAGACGAAAGCUAAGGGAGCGAAU
rnacentral:rRNA from 1 species